AGUGCAUAUAUCGCUUUUUUCUUUCAAUAAAAAAUUUUUUAGCUGCACCCUUUGUGCUGCUCAAGAUCAAUUGUCACUGCAAAUUACUUUGUAGGUGAGAUAUGAAACCGCUAAUUGAUGUUUUCUGUCUUUCCAUCCUUACUGGCAAUAUAUGAAAAAGACAUGUAAAUCCUUUUGAGUUGCGUCUGAUUUCCCCCUCUCUUCCCCAGUAAGCAUGAGUAACAUCACUGCUGCUUAACUCCAAAUACAAUGCAUAACAUUGAGCCAUCUUUUCAUUUCCUUAUAUUAUGAAAUUCUAUUCAUCCUAUGGUAAGAAGCCUUCAACAUGAGCAUCAAGGUCCAAAGUGUUUGCGUACAAAGCCUAGUUGAGGGCCAAACUAGAGAAAUUGUAAACUUCCCUAGUAAAAUAUGAAACACGUCCAAACGAAGAAAAAUUACCAGUUGAAGGAUAGUGUGCAGUGAAAGUUGAUAUAUUAGAGGUUUCAUUGUUUUCAAGAUGGAAAGUUUCAUACUACUAAAAAGGUGGGGAGAAGUCUUUAUAUUGCUGUAUUGGAAGUGCCUAUGGUCCUUAUUUUAUUAGAAGUGCUCCCUAUUUCCCCAUAUGAAGGUUGUAGCUGUCUUUGGGCAUGGGGGAAAGUGAAAGAUAAGUAAAGAAAAACCUUCAGCCCUAUGGGAAAAUACCUGUUGCGGACCUCAAACUUGAAUCAUCUACAAUUAGUUAGUAGCAGAAUAAAAAUAACUUAAAAUAGAACUUCACACGAUGCUUCCUCUUAUAGAUGUAUACUAUUCUCUAUUUCUGAACUUUUCCUCCAUUGAUUAUAGUCAAGCAUUUGAUGUGAUUCAUUUUCUAUAUUCUAGAACAUA
rnacentral:misc_RNA from 1 species